UGUGGCUCAGAGGUAAAGCACUUGCUUUUCAGGCAGAAGGUUCCAGGUUCAAUCCCUGGCAUCACAA